GAUGAACUCUGGCGGCGUGCUUAACACAUGCAAGUCGAGCGAAGCAGUUAAGUUGAUUUCUUCGGAUUGAUUCUUAAUUGACUGAGCGGCGGACGGGUGAGUAACGCGUGGGUGACCUGCCCCAUACCGGGGGAUAACAGCUGGAAACGGCUGCUAAUACCGCAUAAGCGCACAGAGCUGCAUGGCUCAGUGUGAAAAACUCCGGUGGUAUGGGAUGGGCCCGCGUCUGAUUAGGCAGUUGGCGGGGUAACGGCCCACCAAACCGACGAUCAGUAGCCGGCCUGAGAGGGCGACCGGCCACAUUGGGACUGAGACACGGCCCAAACUCCUACGGGAGGCAGCAGUGGGGAAUAUUGCACAAUGGGGGAAACCCUGAUGCAGCGACGCCGCGUGAGCGAAGAAGUAUUUCGGUAUGUAAAGCUCUAUCAGCAGGGAAGAUAAUGACGGUACCUGACUAAGAAGCCCCGGCUAACUACGUGCCAGCAGCCGCGGUAAUACGUAGGGGGCAAGCGUUAUCCGGAUUUACUGGGUGUAAAGGGAGCGUAGACGGCAAGGCAAGUCUGAUGUGAAAACCCAGGGCUUAACCCUGGGACUGCAUUGGAAACUGUCUGGCUCGAGUGCCGGAGAGGUAAGCGGAAUUCCUAGUGUAGCGGUGAAAUGCGUAGAUAUUAGGAAGAACACCAGUGGCGAAGGCGGCUUACUGGACGGUAACUGACGUUGAGGCUCGAAAGCGUGGGGAGCAAACAGGAUUAGAUACCCUGGUAGUCCACGCCGUAAACG
rnacentral:rRNA from 1 species